GUAAACCAAAGCUUUUUUAAAUAUAUUUUUCAUAACAAGCUUAUCAACUAAGCCCAUUGAGAACAACCCUUCUAUACAUUUAGUUUCGUGUAUUUUACUUUAAGUAUUAUUUGUUACCUUGUUUGCAUCAUCUGAUUCCUGCACUGCAGUUUGCAGAAUCUUUCAAAAAUAAGAUCGAUUUAAUAAAGAAGAUAAUAUAUUGCGUUUUGAGGAAAGUAUUGGUUUUAAAGAUACAUGAGAACUACAGUUGUUGACUCUGGACUCGGGUCUAAGCUGCUCCUUGUUUCCAUAGUUACAGCUGUACUCCUUGGCCUCCUGUUAAAUGUUCAGUAGACAGUAGUACUCAAGAAGUUUGUGUUAUGCAGUUUGUGUGUGCAAGUGUGUGCAUGUGUGUGUAGUGGAUUAUCUGUUGGUGCAAACAAGGUAACAGGGCUUGGAGGCAUGUACGUCCUGACAGCCUUUCCUCAUCUCUUGCACACUCUCACUUUUGGGUUCUAACCUAUAACCCUGCUAGCAGCUUCCCUUCUGGCAUUUCCUUGAGCGUUUCCCAAAGUCCUUGCUCCAAUAAUACAUAUACAUCCUCAUAUCCACAGUUCUUUGCAGUCAUCACUGAUAUGAAUUUGAUAAGAUCAGAAACUACAGUUUCCUUCUUAUCAGCAUCCCCCAUCCUAAAGUAAUCAGUGAUAACCUCAAAGAUUUAGGGAUGUAUUUUUAACUCUAAUGGUGUGUCAUGCUAUAACCAUCCUCACAUGGCCUCGGCAUUAACAGCCUUGUUAAUGACAAGAUUACCGAAGUCCUACCCUAAGUGUCACGUGGAAUAACUGUCGAAUAAGUGGUGGAAUCUUCUCUUUUAAUUUCCUCAGGGUUUGGCUUAGAUGUGCAACAACCUGCCUCAGCCUGGUUCUGUUUUAAAGGCUUGGCAGGUUGAAAGUCUCGUGUUUGCCGUCUUUCUUGGUUGUCCACUGAAGUUUUACUUCAGCAUGACAUUGACAAUAAUUGAUGUUAAAUUAAAUGUAUUAUAAUCAUGAGGUGAUUCAUCAGCCUUACAAAGAGCUCAGGAGUUUGUAAUCACUCUUCAGAUGCAGUUGAGUUUGACUUUUAUAGCCUUGCUCCUCCUCUCUUUUCUUCUUCUGUCAUCCUAAUCUCUGUUUAUGUGAAUAACGAGGAUGGAAGAAUUUGCUUCCACCAUACUUCACAGCUGAUUAAGAGGAGCUGAAAGAUAUGAAGAGACAAUCUUAGAUUGAGAAGAUGUCAUAAUAGACUCUUUCACAGUCCUCUCAUUAUAGUGGCAUCGGCAGGAGGAGCCGCUCUGCUCCACGCAACCGGAACUAGAGUGUCUUGCUUUUGUGUUUCCAUCUUCUUGUCAGUGAAAUCAAUUGCUAUGCCAUCUCAGAGAAAUAGUGAAAAGUCUCUGUAGAAGUAAUUAGCAUAGGGAUGUGAGUUAAUUCCAUUUCAUGGUAGCAUUGGUACUCACAAAUACAUUGUAGCUGUUGCCCAAGUGUAGUUUGAUGUCUGCAGAAGUUUGCUGCUACUUUUACUUGCUGAUUUUGGGACAUCUCGGAGGCAGAAUGUAGGAAUGUCAUAUAUUUAGUGCAUGAGGUUUAAAAAUAAAUAAAUAAAUAAAUAAAUAAAAAAUCUGAAACUGCAAAUUCUUCUGUUGCAAACACCUGAUGAAUGUGUUUUGUAGUCCAUACUUUCAUCAGUAUUGUAUUAAUAUGAGUAGCAGUAAUAUGCUAGCACAUGAGUUUGAGUGGAAAAGCUCUGUUAUCUCAACUGUGUAAGACAAUGCAUUGCUUGGAUGAACACAGAUGAAGUAUGAAUUCUCCGUUUGACAUUGGGCCAAAUUCAGUCAUCAGUCAUUGAUCUGUGCCACGGCAACGUCCGUGGAUGGAAAAGGCGACCAUGAUAUCAAAUACAGCAUAUCAUGUAACACCCAGUUCUAAUUGGGCUCACCCUUUUCUGAGGUUAUGUAAUCAAAGACAUCCCCACCAUCUCCAUCCUGACAGUUGAUUGCCUUUGAAUGUGACAAAGAUGAUCAUGCACACCAUUAUUUCUCUCUCUCUCUCUGCAUCUGCAUUUCCCCCCCCACCUACUGGAGUAUUUUCACACAUAGCAUUAGCUUCCCAGCACUCUGAAUUCUAAUGUACCUUUAUCACUUACCCCAUCCACUGUGUGCUCCAUCUAUAACCCCUUCAAAAACCACACUGCCGUAUUUUGUCUCUCCUGUAUCCACCUCGUCCACAUGCUGUGUAUCAUAGCUUUGGGUGGUUUAGAAACUUUAAUUUCAUUUGUGCUCUUUGGUUUUCUGUUCGUUGUUUAUGUAAAUUGCAUAACUUUGUUUUGUUUUUCAGUGUUUGUGUUGAGGAUGGCCAUGGUCCCUGACUGUCUUGCUUAUUGGACACUAACUGACUGUGCGCCCAGGAGGGCAGGACGACUGUACUUUUCAGCAGCUUAGGUGAGCUCCACACCAUUUCUCAGAGAAGUUAUGGAACCACGUACACCAUCCGCCCUGGCAGCCGUUACCCUGUCACCCGACGCACCCCCAGCCCAGGUUCAGGCUCACCUGACCGGGGCGACCUUCUCGGACGAUUCUCAAGCUUCGGCCUACCGACCUCACCGACUACACCCCCUCAAACCAUCCUCAAGUCCUCGAGCCUCAGCCUACCCCAGGAGCCUAAAGAGGUCCGCUUUGUAAUGAGGAGCUCCAGCGCCCGUUCCCGCUCUCGUUCCCCGUCCCCUUCCCACUCCCCCGGGUUGGGGUCACCGCUUUUAGCCCUCCGGCCCUUCCACCAAAAACCCCUCCACCUUUGGAACAAGUACGACGUUGGAGACUGGCUGGAGAGCAUCAAUCUGGGGGAGCACAGAGCGGGGUUUCAGGAACACGAGAUCGAAGGCUCUCACCUCCCGGCUCUAACCAAGGAUGACUUUGCGGAGCUGGGAGUAACGCGAGUCGGACACCGCAUGAACAUUGAGCGAGCACUAAAGCAGCUGCUGGAGAGCUGACCCCUGCCCUGAGACACAGCAACAGAUGGAGAGAGACGAAGACAGAACCAGUGAGAUACAGAGCUGAUGAAUAGGAGAGAAAACAAUGUGGACCGCUCCUCUUUUACUCCGGCUGCUUUUUUAUGUUCGGUAUCACAAAUGUUUACCUGUGGUCCUUAACGGCAUUUUCCGUUCCCACUCUGCAUUAACACCCUGCACUUGGCACUGCACUGAAGAGGAGGAGUGAAUACAUUCGUCCCCCUCUACUCGGCCCUUAGCGUCUGCCCACCUCCUUGGCUGCAGCCAAUUAGAUCAGACCUCAAAACGAUAUCUGGUCUUUUUUUUCGCCGAGGAGAAUCGCAUGAGCUCCAAUUAAAACAUUUGAUUUGUGAAAGGUUCAGUUGUUUCCUUAGUAACACCCACACAUUCUCUCUCAUGACUCCCUCCUCUCCUCGCUACCUCUAUCCCCCCGUCUAUUAGGCCUCUGAAAAGCCUUUUUGCAGUUUGAGUAAAGGAGGAGGAGGACUAAUUUUUGUUCCAAACAGAAAAGCUCAGUUGCCUUUCACAAUAUUUAUACAGAGAUCAACAAUGAUGAACACAGUGCUAUGGUCAUAGUGCUGACACAGCUCUGAAAAGGUGUGUCUUCUGUAUACCUGCUGUUGUUUUUAAAAACCGAAGACUUUUAGAGCCCAGAGGCGGAGCUCCACAAAGUAAACCACGGGAGAAACCCCCUCUGCCUUGGUACCCAGACUGUGCUAUCUAUUAUAUUUGGAGAAUGUUUAACCAACACUCGUGGCUUUUUUCAUAAUCAAUUUUUGGGUUUUCCAAAGGGAAUAUUAUAUAUAGGUAUUAUAUAAUAUAAUAUAUAUGUAUCUAAAUAUAGCUUUCAGAAGAAAAGACAAUGUUGCAAAGAGGAUAUGUAAUAAAUUAAUUUGCGCCUGUUUUUGGUUUUUAGUAUAGAAGGCAGAGAGAAAUCUUUAAAUCUAUUCCACCAAUAGUUUACUCAUUUCUACCAAUUAUAUACAUACAUAUAUAAAUAUAUAUAUAUAUUUGAAAGAAAAAAGUAUAUAGAUACAAAAAUGAAAUUUUUGUCAUAGGUAUACAACCUUCCUUAUGGUCACCCUUUCUUGAACCGUAGCAUGACGAGUUGCAUCAUGUUUUUGGACAGAGAGUUUGUUGUUUGUGUUUAUUUUCUUACAGUCUUCCUUCAUACUAAAAGGGCAUCCCGUAAUGUGAGGCUGAGACCCCAGUUGAUACCCAUCCCUACCGCUUCAGCUACACAUCUCGCUGCCAUGGAUAUGUCUCCGAUUUUACCCCCCCCCCCACCCCCCAAUAACUGUGAGAGCCGCCCGCUGAGCCGGCUGGUUGCUCUGGAUCUUAUGCCUGUUUAUCACUCAGGGAUGGAAGUUUGGGGCACUAGCAUGAAGAGGUUGUUGGCUCUUUCAAUACAAUCUAUUUAAAUUCUUACAUUUGAGGACAAUUCAACACCACCACCAGUCUGAAAAAUGGUAGACAGCUAGUAUAAAUUUCCAUCCCUGUAACCCCUGAAGAUGCUUCUCAGACCAGGUUGCACGAGGUCUGGUAUUGUAAAGGAAACAUUGGGAUGUUUUUUUAAUCCCCAGUGGAAAGGAGAGCAUCAUUAACUGUUUUUUUAAGUUCAAAGUGUGGGACAAAUGAAGUUUAAACUGCACAAAUAAAGCAAAUCAUUGUUUACCUUAGAAUCCUUUACCUGGAGUGCAACUAAGACAAACUCGCCAUACAAGCUUAAUUGAGCUAGAUGUGUGUGCCCUUCUGAAAUGCCACUGCAGGAAAUGUCUGUAGUUCCUCAGGCUGUGGGGAUGGGGAAGCCUCUGUAAGGUCUUAAAGAAAAUUCAGUAUUUUACAACCUGGCAGUGUCUCGCACCGUCGCUGCUACCUUCUAUCUCUACCAUUGUCUUAUCAUGUAAACGGUGGCAGCCAGAGCACUAAAAAUAAGACCCAGGUUGUAAAAGAAAACAAAAAAAAAAACAAAAAGGAAAAACUGAAUUUUCUUUUAACAACACAAAUCUGCAAUUGUACUCAUGAGUAGCUUCUGCUGGCAGUGAGAAACUGAGUUUUAUUCAAGCAACAACAACAAAAAAAGCAUUUUAGCAUAGCUUUUCUCUGACAGAAUGCCAGGAAACUGUAUUGACACUAAAAACCUCUGUACAUCAGCAGCAUCCAGUCAGUAUGCCAAGACAGUUUUACUUGGCGAAAAGUUGUGUGCAUCUUUUUUUUUUGCUAGCAGUUUGUAAAAGCGGGUGGUGAACAUUUCGUUGUAUCUGGGUUGUAGGAAUAGCACUCACUGCCUCACUGUGACCUCACUGAUCAUUUUACUUUUGAUUCCAGUGUUAUGUCCUCAGACUCAUUUGGACCUUCUUCUUUUUUUUUUGUUUUCUUUUUGCUGUUCUUUUUAAUUUUGUCGUCGUCGUCGAAUCGUUACCCUCGGACACUGUGGGUAGAUUUUGUAGCGUGUGGAACAUGAUACUUAAAAUCUUUCACUCAUUUGAAUUUUAGAGUGACAGAAGAAAAAAAGAAAAAAAUAUCCUGUUCAUCCUAAACAUACUUACACUUGUAAAAAAAAAACCAACAAACUACAAAUCUUUGCUUUUUUUAAAAAAAUCACAAGCAAUGUAUAUAUGAUAGAUUUCAUAUAAAUUUUUGAAAAACAAAAAGUAUAUAGAUCUAUAUAUGAAUGUUUGGCAUAUAUGCAUAGUUAACCACCUGUGGAAAAGGUGAGCAGAUUUUAUUCUUUCUAUGAACUCUUGAACUUUUGAACUCUGAACUAUGAACUAGGGGAUGAUUUGCACAAAACAAGGUGACAAGGUGCUAACAUAAAAGCCACCCAUCGUCCAAGCGCAUGCGUGCAUCUGGAUUCCCUGAACCUCUCUGUGUGGUCGUUCCUCUUCACCGUGUGCUGCGUGUGUGUGUGUGUGUGUGUGUGUGUGUGUGUGUGUGUGUGUGUGUGUGUGUGUGUGUGUGUGUGUGUGUGUGUGUGUGUACGCGAGCAAAUGCUUUCCAUUUUUUUUGUGUAUCUGUUGGGGAGCGAGACGAUGAGAAUGCAUGUGACAGUGAGAGAGUGUGUGGUUAAUCCUUAGGGUUUACAUCUUUGGAGUUUAGUCCACUAUAGCCUUACUGUAUUACCAUCAGAGAUUCCCGGCAGCGGCUGUGUCACACAAACACACACACAAACUCACAAAACAUGCACACACAGACAGAAGAAAAUGCACACAUUCAUUUCAAGAUUGAACAUCAUCGUUCUGCAUUGUUGUUUUAUACUCAGUGACGUCUUCAGAUAGUGGACUGCUCUGCCCCAGAGACGAGCAGAGAGGGAGAGAUAUUGGUAAAAAUAAAUAAAUAAAACAAAGUAAACAACACUGUCACAUUUUAUAUUGCAAGACAACUCACCUUGUAACUGCGUAGGUACACCUUAUGCAGUGUCACUGUUUUGUACGCUCAUUCCCAGAUGGCAUUUGCGCUCCUUACCCUCCACUCUGUCUGGCAGCACUCCUUUUUCCUUUUUCAGACCUUCAGUUUCUGAGUUUUGGAUAUGCUAUAUGAGGUAAUCCAGUGAGGAACAAACAACACAAAGGAAAAAUGUGCCAAAAAGUAACUUAAUUUUUAACUGUGUAUUUGUCUUUGCUUUAGGACUAUCUUAGUUACAGCAUUCUUGAGCUGUUAGAUAAUAUGAUAAUAUGGUGCCAUCUCCUGGAAAUCUUGAGAACAACAGACGUGUUAGAUCUUUCUGUAUUUUCCUGCAGGUGGAAGUACAGUCAUUUUUGUUAUUUUGUGAAGAAGCAGACUAUAUAUAUAUAUAUAUAUAUAUAUAUAUAUAUGUGUGUGUAUAUAUAUAUAUAUAUAUAUAUAUAUAUAUAUAGUCUGUGUAUAUCUACUUGCAUUAACAUUUCUAUUUAAAUUUUGACGUAACACAUUUGCUUGAUUUGACUGUGCUGAAGGCUACUGUUCCCAUAUAAAUACAAAUAAGAGACUAAACACUUGAGAGGUGAACGUGUACAGUCUGAUGCAGGCUGGCCUGGCUAGAAGAAUCAAUGCUGCUUGGAUUGUUGUGCAAGUUUACUACCAAUACAGAUGCAAACUGAGCAAUGUGUGAUAGACAUACACAUCAUUAGGUCAAAUAAGUUAAGUGAAGGGUUAUCUUUGUCUUAUUUUCUAAUCAACAAAGCACAAUCUACAUAGCGUAGGGGGAGCAGUGUGACCUUUUUAAAAACCCACUGGGGUCCGGUGGCCCACUGGAGCCAGUGAUCUUAUCAUCCAAGGGGUUUUUUCUUUCAUUGUUGGUUUUCUCCUUGUUUGCACUGUGAAGUUUAGAAUGGUGGAUGUAUCACUGCAACGCCUCAGCCUUGUCUCACGGGUGAACUUCCCCUUCUCGACAUCCAAACGACCAGGCGAUUCAUCUGUGACUUCUCUCCCUCCGGACACUUAGGGUACUACAGAAUCCCCCCUACACUUCAAUCCACAAGAGCCCAAGUUAAAACACAAGCGAAACCAGAAGCUACCUAGUAUUCCUCAUGCAAACAGAGCAAGGGCGAUAGUAAAGGUUGAGGCAAGAUCUGAGAUGUUGCCCAGGAUAUCUCCACCACAGAGAUAUAUGUUUGUUAUAUUAUGUAAUAAAUUUAUAAUUAAAACAUGA
ensembl:lncRNA